AUGCUUGGAAGGAUCGACUGCAUGCAUUCGAAAUGGAAGAACUGUCCAUUUGCUUGGCAGGGGUUGUACAAAGGCGUCAAAUACGGUUGCAGUGUGGUACUUGAGGCAGUGGCCACACAAGACCUUUGGAUUUGGCACUCUUUCUUUGGGAUGCCAGGAACUCACAAUGACAUCAACGUCCUGCAGUACUCCCCUGUCUUUGCCAAGCUUGUUGAAGAUCAUUCUCCUCCGGUGAACUUCGAGGUCAAUGGGCGGCACUACAACAAGGGGUACUACCUAGUUGAUGGCAUCUAUCCGAGAUGGUCGACAUUUGUGAAGACUAUCUCAAACCUAGUGCCAGGAGGUAAGAACGCCUUCUUUGCAAAGGUUCAGGAGGCUUGCAGGAAGGAUGUCGAGCGGGCAUUUGGUGUGCUCCAAUCUCGAUUUGCUGUUGUCCGGUUCCCCCUGCUCAGACCUGGUCGAAAGAUCAAAUGUGGGAGAUCAUGA
rnacentral:rRNA from 1 species